UACGUAGGGUGCGAGCGUUGUCCGGAAUUAUUGGGCGUAAAGAGCUUGUAGGUGGCUCGUUGCGUCGGGAGUGAAAACCUGCGGCUUAACCGCAGGCCUGCUUCCGAUACGGGCGAGCUAGAGUUCGGCAGGGGAGACUGGAAUUCCUGGUGUAGCGGUGGAAUGCGCAGAUAUCAGGAGGAACACCGGUGGCGAAGGCGGGUCUCUGGGCCGAUGACUGACACUGGACGAAGCGAAAGCGUGGGAGCGAACAGG
rnacentral:rRNA from 1 species